GUGCAGCAGGCGAGAAACCUCCGCAAUGCGCGCAAGCGCGACGGGGCCAUCCCGAGUGCCGCUCGCUGAGGGCGGCUUUUCUCCGGUGUAAGUAGCCGGAGGAAUAAGGAGAGGGCAAGUCUGGUGUCAGCCGCCGCGGUAAUACCAGCUCUCCGAGUGGUGGGGACGAUUAUUGGGCCUAAAGCGUCCGUAGCCGGCUUGACAAGUCUCCCGUUAAAUCCAGCGGCCUAACCGCUGGGCUGCGGGAGAUACUGUCAAGCUUGGGGGCGGGAGAGGCCAGCGGUAUUCCCGGGGUAGGGGUGAAAUCCGUUAAUCCCGGGAGGACCACCAGUGGCGAAGGCGGCCGGCCGGAACGCGCCCGACGGUGAGGGACGAAAGCU
rnacentral:rRNA from 1 species